GGAGAGAGGCGGGCGUGGAGAAGGGAAAAAAGGGCGUAGUAAGUCAUACGGAGAGGCUCGUACGUCAUACUUCAUCCGGGCCAACGGAGCAACACAUGGAAAGGGCUCUCCCCGCACGUAUACGAAGAACGCAUUCACUCGGGCUGCCUCUUUAGGUCGCGACGCUCGAUAGUGGAAUCCUUACAACGGACGCACACGAAGAUCGGAGCUGAUCUUCGUCGAUACGGGAGUAGAGCGCUGUGUUACCGGCAACCCUCGUAAAAGGCCAUAGCGGCAAGCGUGGAGGUUCACAAGAAGGAGGGAUAAACGAGUCGAGCCACGAUUUCGUUGUCGUAAACGUCAAAGUUACGGUUACAGCGUUGUUCCUAGCUGCUUUAUAUUGAACGGGGUUGCUCCCCGAGGUACGUAACACCUACUCGCAGACGUCGUAUUGUAGAAAGUAGCGCUACUACUCCUUUCCAACUCCGGGAGCGACGCAACGCGGGCACCACGUGGCUUUUACGCGGGAAUCCAGUGAAGGAAUUCAAGAUAACGUUCCUUUAAGCGCGUCGGAAAUAGAGGAUGUAAAUUUCAGAAACGGAAGCUACAGAGCUAUCAUUAAUAAUCUGCACCGUAAAAGAGGCUCUCUCUCAAUGGGCUUGAAUGAAGAGAUGCCUAAAUAGCACCCCAGCCUCUC